GACGAACGCUGGCGGCGUGCUUAACACAUGCAAGUCGAACGGAAAGGCCCUGCUUUUGUGGGGUGCUCGAGUGGCGAACGGGUGAGUAACACGUGAGUAACCUGCCCUUGACUUUGGGAUAACUUCAGGAAACUGGGGCUAAUACCGGAUAGGAGCUCCUGCUGCAUGGUGGGGGUUGGAAAGUUUCGGCGGUUGGGGAUGGACUCGCGGCUUAUCAGCUUGUUGGUGGGGUAGUGGCUUACCAAGGCUUUGACGGGUAGCCGGCCUGAGAGGGUGACCGGCCACAUUGGGACUGAGAUACGGCCCAGACUCCUACGGGAGGCAGCAGUGGGGAAUAUUGCACAAUGGGCGGAAGCCUGAUGCAGCAAUUCCGCGUGCGGGAUGACGGCCUUCGGGUUGUAAACCGCUUUCGCCUGUGACGAAGCGUGAGUGACGGUAAUGGGUAAAGAAGCACCGGCUAACUACGUG
rnacentral:rRNA from 1 species